GGGAGGCAGGGAAGCCGGCUCCGUGAUCUAUACGGGAUCGACGGGGUGGAGGAUACGCGUGAUGGAGGCAGCCGCCGGAGCUGCACGGGCGGUGGACCGGUGGUCAGAAAACCUACCGUCAUGGAAUCAACCCCUCACGUCUGACCGACAAUCUAGAUCGUUUGAGGAAAGGAUCGCCAAAAGCGUGCGCGUCGGGAGUGGCCUCGGCGUGCGGGUCGUUGGGAGAUUCGCUGAGCCGUAACUUCCUCCGCCAUAAUUCACCGCGGGCCACCGUGGUAACUAACUCAACUCCGCGCCAGAUCCUGCAUAUGCUCUUCUCACGCUCCUUACAUCCGCUCGCUCCUCCCAUCCGCUCCUCCUAUAAGCCAAGGCACCACUCAUGCACAAUCCACAUCACGCCGGCAAGCAGUGUAUUUGAUUAGUCACAAGCCAUAAUCAGUUUUUUUCUAAGUUCUGAUCCAUCAAUGGCUCAUCCACUCAACUUCUUCUUCCUCCUGUUCGUCUCCGCUGUUGUAUCUGUGCGUGGUGCUGGCCUUGGGCUUGUUUUGCCGGUGCCUAUCGGUAAGAGGUACAUCGUCGGCGCCUCGGCGGGGCGGACGGGUGGCACGUGCCACCACGGGAGAACAAGGACCUGUACUUGAAGUGGGCCUCCACCAUUGAGUUCUUCGUUGAGGACUCCAUUGAACGACUCAGUCGGAAAGGUGAACAAGUACGCGUACUACCACUGCAACUGGACGACACCGACCUCCGCACUGCCCGCCAAGGAUGGCAGCUCACUCUUCCUCCUCGACGCCCCCGGCAUCGCGUACUUCGCCAGCGCCGACAUCAAACAUUGCAAGAAGGGCCAGCGCCUCAUGCUCAACGUCAAAGGGCAGGCCAACCCUGGCUCCGUCAGCUGAUAUUUCAAGCCCUCCUGCCCCUGUGUCGCCCACACCUGCACCGGGACCGGCGGUGCUUGGAGAGCCGGUAAUGGACAGCGGUGCCACAACACUGGCCUCGUCGGUCUAGUCACGCCUUGGCGCUGGUGGUUUCUGUCACAACACUUGCCUUGAUGGGGAGGAUGAGGACCUGAAUGCCCGCGACACGAUGAGGCGCAGCAUUGUAGGUGCCUAGUUCAGAUUCUCUCGCGUGGUUAAUUUCUUAAUCGCGGGCCGAACCGUUCGGCAUGGUAGUGAGAGUGUGUGUUGUGUGAGUAUUUUAUCGGUCGACACAAUAAAUAUUUUUGACGACCAUUAUUGAUCUUGCUGCAGAAUGAAAGAAAUUAACUUCUGUAUUUUAUCGGU